rnacentral:rRNA from 1 species
UAGAAUUGACGGGGCCGCACAAGCGGUGGAGCAUGUGGUUUAAUUCGAAGCAACGCGAAGAACCUUACCAGGUCUUGACAUCCCGAUGCUAUUUCUAGAGAUAGAAAGUUACUUCGGUACAUCGGUGACAGGUGGUGCAUGGUUGUCGUCAGCUCGUGUCGUGAGAUGUUGGGUUAAGUCCCCGCAACGAGCGCAACCCCUAUUGUUAGUUGCCAUCAUUCAGUUGGGCACUCUAGCGAGACUGCCGGUAAUAAACCGGAGAAGUGGGGAUGACGUCAAAUCAUCAUGCCCCUUAUGACCUGGGCUACACACGUGCUACAAUGGUUGGUACAACGAGUUGCGAGUCGGUGACGGCGAGCUAAUCUCUUAAAGCCAAUCUCAGUUCGGAUUGUAGGCUGCAACUCGCCUACAUGAAGUCGGAAUCGCUAGUAAUCGCGGAUCAGCACGCCGCGGUCGAAUACGUUCCCGGGCCUU